UAAGGAAUAUUGGUCAAUGGGCGGAAGCCUGAACCAGCCAUGCCGCGUGCAGGAAGACGGCCCUACGGGUUGUAAACUGCUUUUGCAGGGGAAUAAACCUUCGUAUGUAUACGAAGCUGAAUGUACUCUGAGAAUAAGGAUCGGCUAACUCCGUGCCAGCAGCCGCGGUAAUACGGAGGAUCCAAGCGUUAUCCGGAUUUAUUGGGUUUAAAGGGUGCGUAGGCGGCUCAUUAAGUCAGGGGUGAAAGACGGUAGCUUAACUAUCGCAGUGCCUUUGAUACUGAUGAGCUUGAAUGUAGUUGAGGUAGGCGGAAUGUGACAAGUAGCGGUGAAAUGCAUAGAUAUGUCACAGAACACCAAUUGCGAAGGCAGCUUACUAAAGUACGAUUGACGCUGAGGCACGAAAGCGUGGGGAUCAAACA
rnacentral:rRNA from 1 species